CUUGCUCGCUGGAUUGAUUGGAUUAUUUGUCUUUAGAUCUCUCUCACUAUAUCUCACUCUUUCUUUCGCUCCUGGUUUUUGAACAAAGCUUCUAACUUUUUUUUGCCUGCUCACAUCUAUGUAGAUACAUACACAUCUGCUAGCUUUGUGGUGAUGAUAGCAGGUCUGAUGAUUCAUCAACCAAACCAGCAGUGAAUGGCAGGAGCCUUUGAUGUAUAAUGUCAUUAGGAACGGGAUUCAGACGAGUUUCCGGUGGUGGGACUGGAUUGAUGAGGUAUAUUUGCUUUUCAUUUUAUGGUUUCAUUAUAAACUAUGGAUUAGAUUAAAUUAUUGUGUUCUGCUGUUCUCAGUCAUAUUAAUGUCGUUUGAAGAGCUUGAUUACAUUAAUGAUGGAGAAAAUGGGACACUUUUGUAUAGAUUUUGAAGAAAGUAUACUUCAAGGAAGGUCACAUAUCUCUGAGAAACAUAUCUUUGUUAGUAUCAUUUACAUUAUCUUUAUUGCUUUUCAUUUUCUACAGUUUCUCGAUACAGGUUUCUUCCAUGUUGAUCGAUCAUCUGGGAAUUUGAUACGCACUCCAGAUGGAAAGCUAGAUCUAACAUUUUUGCUUUGGGGCUGUUUUUGUCUAAACUAAAAAUGUUUAUUUGUACAGUCUCACCUUUCAAAAUAGCCAACAGAUACAUUACUAUGGCUAUUUGUUAGCUAUAAUUAGUAUUUUUGCUUUUAGUCUUUAUAAAGUUGUGUGAAACAUUUCAUUUUGAUAGUGAUGAUAAAGUCUUUUACUAUAUUAAUGAGUUUACUUUGAUUG